UUACCUGCCAGAACCCCCCCCAUUUUUUACGGUUGACCUCGGAUCAGGUAGGGAUACCCGCUGAACUUAAGCAUAUCAAUAAGCGGAGGAAAAGAAACCAACAGGGAUUGCCUCAGUAACGGCGAGUGAAGCGGCAACAGCUCAAAUUUGAANUCUGGCUCUUUCGGGGUCCGAGUUGUAAUUUGUAGAAGAUGCUUUGGGUGUGGCUCCGGUCUAAGUUCCUUGGAACAGGACGUCAUAGAGGGUGAGAAUCCCGUACGUGACUGGGUGCCUUCGCUCGUGUAAAGCUCUUUCGACGAGUCGAGUUGUUUGGGAAUGCAGCUCAAAAUGGGUGGUAAAUUUCAUCUAAAGCUAAAUAUUGGCCAGAGACCGAUAGCGCACAAGUAGAGUGAUCGAAAGAUGAAAAGCACUUUGGAAAGAGAGUUAAACAGUACGUGAAAUUGUUGAAAGGGAAGCGCUUGCAACCAGACUUGCGCGCUGUUGAUCAUCCGAGCUUUUGCCCGGUGCACUCGGCAGCGCUCAGGCCAGCAUCGGUUUUGGUGGGCGGAUAAAGGCCUUGGGAAUGUAGCUCUCUUCGGGGAGUGUUAUAGCCCUCGGUGCAAUGCGCCCUACCGGGACCGAGGACUGCGCUUCGGCUAGGAUGCUGGCGUAAUGGUUGUAAGCGACC
rnacentral:rRNA from 1 species